rnacentral:lncRNA from 1 species
GGAUCCCAGCGGCCGUCCUGUAGCUGAGCAGGCCUGGGGCUUGGUUCUAUGUCCCUGUGGCUAUGUUUCCAGUGUCCUCUGGGUGUUUCCAAGAGCAACAAGAAACGAAUAAAUCUCUGACCCUUCUCAGGUGCAGCCAGAGAGACACUAGCCCACUGAUGGACGGACAGACGUGGGCAGGGUACGUGUCACUAAACCUCCCACCACUGCCACAGCUGCCUACAACAGACACAUCAGAUGACACUCCGGGCAAAUAAAUGAUUUUCACUGAGGACUUACUGGUUUUAAUAAUAGGUCCUGGUGUAGAGAAGUCCCUCAACCUAUUGUGCAAUGAGUUUUGAGAAGCGGAGAGGUGCCCAGUGAAUGCAGGUUCCAGACAAAAGGUGGAGCCUGGCAUCCUGCCCUGCAUGGGCUCCAGCCUGCUGCCAUCUGGGGA